rnacentral:rRNA from 1 species
AAUUUUGGACAAUGGGGGAAACCCUGAUCCAGCCAUCCCGCGUGAAGGAUGAAGGUUUUCGGAUCGUAAACUUCUUUGAUGAGGGACGAAAAAUGACGGUACCUCAAAAACAAGCCACGGCUAACUACGUGCCAGCAGCCGCGGUAAUCCGUAGGUGGCGAGCGUUGUCCGGAAUUACUGGGUGUAAAGGGCGUGUAGGCGGGAAUGCAAGUCAGAUGUGAAAUACCGUGGCUUAUCCACGGGGCUGCAUCUGAAACUGUGUUUCUUGAGUGUCGGAGAGGAAAGUGGAAUUCCCAGUGUAGCGGUGAAAUGCGUAGAUAUUGGGAGGAACACCAGUGGCGAAGGCGACUGCCUGGACGACACCUGACGCUGAGGCGCGAAAGCUAGGGGAGCAAACGGG